CAAAAAUUUUUGUUUGUUGCUGCUACUACUGCUUCUACUGGUGUUGAUAAAAUUGGGGAAAGAGAGAACAAAGUGAGCAUUCAGCUUCCCUAUCCUUUUGAGAUGUUGCCAAGAAGGCUGCCUCUUACCUCACCCAGAACACUGAGGGAAUCUGCACAACUAUAUCAGCUAAUCUGUCUGUGGCCUGUUGGGCCAGCUGACCAGCAUGUGGAGACCCCAGUAGCCAGACAACCCAUGGACUUUGACAGCUGGUGUUCCACAUACCACCACAGUUGGAACCAGUACAUUUCCAGAGUGGGCAUGCAGACCUCAACAUCCAGCAAAGACCUCAGCAGAUGACUCAAUUUUGCAGGAUUGAAAGAAGGCAGAAGGAAAACGGCACCAAAUGCAAAACAUGAGCUUACACAUAAGAAUAGAGAGCACUGGCUGGGCACAGUGGCUCACGCCUGUAAUCCCAACACUUUGGGUGGCUGAGGCAGGCGGAUUGCCUGAGCUCAGGAGUUCGCAACCAGCCUGGACAACACAGUGAAACUCCGUCUCUACUAAAAUACAAAAAAUUGGCCGGGUGUGGCGGUGUGUGACUGUAGUCCCAGCUACUCAGGAGGCUGAGGAAGGAGAACUGCUUGAACCCGGGAGGCGGAGAUUGAAGUGAGCCGAGAUCACCACUGCACUCCAGCCUGGGCAACAGAGUGAGACUCCAUCUGAAAAAAAAAAAAAAAAUAGAGGGCACUAAAAGUAUUAAACAUGAUAAAUGUAAAAGACUUUCUUAUUUUGUUUUUUUAAAGGAUGGUUGAUUAUUUGAAGUACACUAUUGGGGUUUUGACAUGUUUAAAAGUCUAAAAUUUAACAAAAAUAGCCCAAAAAGCAGGAGAGGAAAAGUAUAAAGUAUACUGCUUUAAGAUUCAUAUGUUACAAAUAAAGCAGUAUGAUAUGAUUUUAGGGUAGAUUGCCAUAAGUGAAAGAUAUCAUAAACCCUAGUACAACACUAAAAAACAAAAUGAAGCUAACAAGUCAGUAACAGACAAAAUAAAAUACUAAGAAGUACCAAAUUAAUUGAAAAAGACAGAAAAAUAGGGAAAAUGAACCAAGAACAAAUGGGACAGUCAACAGAUAACAAGGUAGUAGAUUUAAACUCAAGCAUACCAGUGUAUACAUAUGGUAUAAAUGGUUUAAACAUACUAAUUAAAGGCAGGACUAUUAUACUGAACAAAAAGUCAAGAUCCAACUGUAUACAAUCUUUAAGAAAAUGAAUUUAAAUACAGGGUAUACUUUGAAAAUAUUGUGGGUUUGGUUCCAGACCACCGCAAUAAAGUUAAUAUCACAAUAAAGUGAGUCACAUAAUUUUUUUGGUUUCCCAGCAUAUGUAAAAGUUAUAUUUGUACUCAAACCUGUAAUCACAGUGACUUGAGGCAGGAGGAUUACUUGAAGCCAAGAGUUUGAGAUCAGCCUGGGCAACAUAGUGAGACCCUAUCUCUAAAAAGCAUUUUAAAAACAGCCAGGCUUGGUAGUGUGCCUAUAGACCCAGGUACUUGGGGGGCUGAGGUAGAAGGAUUGCUGGAACCCAGAAGUUCAAGGUGAAGUGAGCCAUGAUCAUGCUACUGCACUUUAGCCUUGGUAAUAGAGUGAGACUCUAACUCUUUAAAAAAAAGUCAUAUUUACACUGUAUUUUAGUCUAUUAUAGUAUCUAUAGCAUGCAAUUAUAUUAAAUCUAUUUUAUACAAUUAUGUUAUAUUAAGUCUAUAUUAUAUAUAGAGUACAAUUGUAUUAUGUCUCAGACAAUGUACAUAUCUUAAUUUAAAAUACUUCAUUGGUAAAAAAAAAAAAUGCUAAUGAUCCUCUGAGCAUUCAGCCACUUGUAAUCUUUUUGCUGGGAGAGAGUUGCCUAGAUGUUAUAGCUGGUCAAGGUGGUAGUUGCUGAAGAUUAGAGUGACUGUGGCAAUUUCUUAAAGUAAAACAGCAAUGGGAGUUUGCUGCAUUUACUGACUCUUUCUUUC
rnacentral:lncRNA from 1 species